AGACUAAGACUUAGCUUAUAUGUUGUUGCCUAUUUCAGCAUAUCCAAAAGUAAUUCAGCAUAUAUAGUUUUGAAAGUAUAUUGUAAGAAAAUGCAAAACAAAUUAAUGAGAUUAAUAUGACAUAUAUUACAUAGAAUGAGCUUUUCGUAAAGUCGGUUUAAAGAGGAGGUCUACCACAGCAAUAGGGACCAUCACAGCAACAGAAGAUACAAGCAAGUUCCUUAGGAAUAGUCCAUGGCAUAUACCAGUAAAUUUUUAUUGAAUAUCAGUUUCUGAUAUGCCAAUAGUGCAGAAUAUAUUGCAUCCUAAGUAUGCAGAAAACAAGCACAAUGGUUAACUAACAACUAAGCUUCAAAGUGUAAAAGAAUAUCUUGCAGAUAUCCUUUGGUAGAGUUCUGCAUAUUACAUAUUACGGACACAGAUUCUAUGCAGUAACUUGUCACAUAAUUACUAUCUUCAACAGUUCAAUCUAAAUCAACUG
rnacentral:lncRNA from 1 species